CUGAGGCUCCGCCCACCAGAUCCCGUGCACUGCUCUCAGCGGGAAUGCUGAAAAGGUCAGAGCGUAGAGUUUGGCCAUGGUGACGGCUGCUUUCUCCGAGGGAGCUCAACUCCACUGUCAAGGGUCUCAUUAGAUUCGAGUCUCUUGGAGGGCAGGGAGCGCAUCAGCUGAAUUCUACUCUAUUCUCCCAGGCAUUGGGUAUGGUGCUCUGCACAGAAUAAAAAGAGAUGCCAUGUUGCUUGGUUGUAUCAGAGUGAACCCUACCUGUGAACCAGAUGACCUCGGGGCAAUGUCCCAUGGAUGAAGAUGGAAAUGUUCUGUUGAGUCACCGCAGUUGUGUGGAUGUGGUUGCAUCCAAAGAGGAAACGGUGAAAUGGAAGCUUUCCUGAGUUAUGCCAGGACCUGCUGACCUCCUCACUGUACCUCGGUAUUGUUGACCUCACCGCUGACCUCUUGCCCACAUCCCAACCCU